rnacentral:lncRNA from 1 species
AAGGAAACAACAGCGUCAGCAGGACAGGCUUUGGGCACCCAGGGGGCUGGAGCCGUUGGUCCUCUGAUCUGGAGUCGGCGGCAGCAGCGUGUCAGCGUGGGGGCUCACACUGCGACCGGACUGAGUUGUGCGCACUGAACAAAUGAAAGCACCGGAAAGUGCCAGAGCAGACAAGGCACAGACUGCCCAAAUUUGUCAAGAAGAAAAUCAUGCACAAAGGAUGCCUUUCAUUCAGGUGAAGAUAGAACUAUGUCCUAUUAAGGGAAAUGAACAAUGAACAGGUACGUAUGUAUAGUGACCCAGUUCUCCCUCUAUGAUAUUUCUUGAGGAUAUCUACUACACUAGCUCUUUCAUUCUUACUGGAGGACCCCAUUUUAACGUGUGCCAUUCCACUGCUCUUCAAAAGGCAAUG